rnacentral:lncRNA from 1 species
GGUGUUGCGGAAGAUGCUCUGCUCGGCGGCGGCGAGCGCCUGGCGCUCCUCGAGGUCCCUGCUUGCGGCGGAGACGGCGGAGGGCGGGAAGACGGCCUCCAUCAUGGCCUCGCAGUCCCUGACGAGCUCGGAGAUGAGGUCGGUGGUGAAGAAGGGCUGCUGCAGCACCCCCGCGAUGACGGGGAGCCGGAGCACGCCGCCGGUGCGCUUGUCGAACUUCUUGAGGAUCUUGGCGAGCCCCGUGUAGUUGAUGCUGCUGUAGUUGAGGAGCAGCACCAUCUCGCCGUGGAAGUCGACGACCUCCCGCUGGAUGCGCGCCAUCUCGGCCUCCGCCGCCGGCGAAGGCUUGGCCUCGGCGGCGCGCUGGAUCCUCUCCUGCAGCUCCUGCAAAAAAAACCACGUUGGCAAUCCCUCGGUCAGUCGUGCAUUUCAAAGAAAAAGGAAAAACGAGAAGGAGGUAGAGAAAGAGAAGUGCACCCACCCUCUGCCUGAUGACGAACUCCUCCUCCUGCUCGAGGAAGAAGGCGUUGAACUUGUCGACCUCGGCGUUGAGGAGGGUGAGGAAGUCGGCCUCGGCGGCGGGGGUCGGCGCCGGGGAGGAGACGGCGUUGACGCGGCGCUUGAGCUCCUUGUAGUUGAGGAACUGGCUCCGCCACUCCGGCAGGCUCUCCUCGAUCUGCUUCUUGAGCCGCUUGCCGAACUUCAUCUUUCUUCUGAUCGCAAGAUUCCGAUUUUAUUUAUCCUUACAGAUAUAUCCGUCAGUAAUUAAGUGCUGGAUUGAGA